rfam:Solanum lycopersicum cultivar Heinz 1706 chromosome 2, whole genome shotgun sequence.
GUCCCUUUGGGUACAUUCAAUAAAAUUAAAACGAUAUAGAGAAGAUUAACAUAGUGUCUGCGCAAGAAUGACAUGCACAAAUCGAAAAAUGGUUCAAUUUUUU